ACCUAUGUUUGCAGUAAAUGUCGAGUGUGACAUUAUUAAGUAUGUUCCUCCAGUUUUUGUAAUAUUUUUUGUGAAAAAAAGGCGAAAAAAAGCAAAAAUGUCUACAAGAGCCAAAUACAUAUUAACUUUAGCACGUAGCCAGUUGACGGAGAAUAAAGUUUCAGAUAUAGAGACAGUCAAUGAUGAUGAUGACAAUUGACAUGUCGUCACCUGAUAAUGAGAUAAAUACUCGCAUAAAAUAUACGACGGAAGGAAAGAAUAAAGCGGAACAACCUACAAAAAGUUCUUUUUUUACUUCAUGUGAUGAUACUACUUUGGCAUUUCAAGAAUUUACUGUUGGAAAUGAAAGUUUAAACGUUGAAAAUAUUGAGCCGGUUCCGGGCACUUCAAAACAGCAUUUAUAUGACUUAAAUUCAGACUUUGAGCGGCAUAUUCUCCUGAACACUCGGAAUAUAAUCCAGAGUCUGAAAAUUCUUCUAGCAGUGAUUUUGAUUUCCAAGUUGGCACAUUACAAAGAAACAAUAUUGAAUUACACGAUAUGGAACAGUUGCCUGUUGGGACAGAUAAGUCGAGAAAAAGGAAAAGAAAUGAACAAAAUUGGAAUAGGAAUGUUGCAAAAUUAAAAAAACAACGUGGCGAGGCAUACAUAUCCUCAAGAGGCAAACACGUUCCGAGGGUAGCAAUGAAAGAUCCAUGUUUAGCUACCUGCAAAAGACAAUGCAGUGAAGUUUUCUCUUAUGAUGAACAAUUGUCGAUUUUUCGGAGAUAUUUUAACGAUGUUUAUCAAUACCCUAGGAAUUAGAAAGGGAGUUGUGGAUAUUGCGAUGAAAGCGAGAACUGAACAAAACACAACUUUGGAAGACAAGCGCGGAAAUUUUUAAAAAAAGGUCACGACUCCUGAAAUAAUGAAUAGUGUUAAAAGUCAUAUUGAGAAGUUUCCAGUAGUCGGCUCACACUAUUGUCGUUCAAAAACGCAACGUACCUAAAUAUUUGGCCUCUGAAACAUAACAAUUAUGUACUCUCUUUAUAAAAAAAAUACAAUGAAAAAAAAAACAAACACCAGCUAGCUCUGCCAUUUAUAGAAAGGUGUUCUCAGAGGAGUAUAACCUUGGUUUUUAUCGACCUCGCAAAGAUCAGUGUCAGAUAUGUAUGAUCUACAAUUUUCCUUUAAGUGAUAAACCAUCUAUGCAAAUUGAGUAUUUGGCUCAUAUAGCAGCUAAGGAUAGAGCUCGCGAUGAAAAGCGAUUAAGCACACAGUUGGCGGAAAAAAAAUGCAACAAGUGCUUCUGGUGCCAAAUGAUCCAACUAAUAAUGCUUUAUUUUAUAAGCAAUUUAUAAAAUAAAGCAUUUAAAGUAUUUAACAUUACCAUUCUCUCUCCAAACAAGGUGAUUGCUUUAUGUGGACAGAAGUUGAAGGCAAACGAGGUAGCUGUGAGAUUGCGACCUGUUUAUAUAAAUAUUUUGAAUCUUUGCCAGAAACUACAAAUCAGGUUCAGUGUUUUAGUGACAGAUGUGGUGGACAAAAUUUAAACAAAUUUGUAUCUGGCAUGUACUUAACAGCCGCGCGUUCAAAAUAUUGCACAUUUAGAAACGAACUCAACUUCUUAGUGUCGGGACAUAGUAAAAUGGAAUGCGAUUCCAUGCACUCUGCCAUUUCAACAGAAUUUAAAAGAGUAGGCAAAACUUAUUUACCACAAGACUGGAAAACAAUAGCUAGAUGUUCCCGAAGAAAGGGUAAUAAACCUUACAUCGUUCAUGAUGUUACACAUGAACAAAUAUUUGAUUGGAAAAUCAUGCAGAUAAAGUUUUAAUUUUCAGAACCAAGGACGAAAGUGGAAAACAAGUUGCCUGGCAGAAAAUGUAUUGUAUGCGCUUUUCUAAAUCAGAACCUUUUAUAUUAAAAUUCAAAGAAAAAUUCAAUGAAGAAUUUAGGAGUUUAAACUGCAAAAGGAAAACAAAACCAUCUCAAAUUAAUAGAAAAAUGCCCAAGUCUUUGUAUAAAAGCAGAUCACCUAUAACUAAGGAAAAAUACAUUGAUCUUUUGUCAUUAUUUAACACUAAACCUCCCACAAUUCCCAUUGAAAAUAAACCUUUUUUUGAAAACCUUCCAUUUAAGCAAACAGAAGAAGUUGUACCUGAAUCAGAUUUAAGUGACAGUAAGUGACGAAGUAUAGUAUUUAAGUAAUCAUGAGUUAUGUAUUUGGGUUUUUUUACAUUUGACAGAAAUGUAAGUAUUAAUAAAAGUAUUUUUGAUA